GCUGACGAGUGGCGGACGGGUGAGUAACGCGUAGGAAUCUGCCUUAUAGUGGGGGACAACGUGGGGAAACCCACGCUAAUACCGCAUACGCCCUACGGGGGAAAGGAGGGGAUCUUCGGACCUUUCGCUAUGAGAUGAGCCUGCGUUAGAUUAGCUAGUUGGUAGGGUAAAGGCCUACCAAGGCGACGAUCUAUAGCUGGUCUGAGAGGACGAUCAGCCACACUGGGACUGAGACACGGCCCAGACUCC
rnacentral:rRNA from 1 species